GGGAGAAUGGCUGCAACAAAAACAGCUGCAAAAAUGGAAUCGGAUGGAAAAUCGGCAGUUAGUUCUCCAGGAAAAGCAAAGCAAACGUCUGGAUUUCUGAUGUCAAUUGUUCGCACACUUUCAUCGAGUGCUGAUUUUGAACAAAGGGGAAAGGAAAAAAAGCGCAUUGAAAAAGCCUUCCAGGAAAGUGAUAAAAAAUUAGGACUUCUAGUGAAAGAAAACUACCAGGAUUUGACCUCAAUAUUGAAAUCCUUUAGUGACAUCAGUGACAAAGUGAAUGAGUCGCGAACGAAGAUCAAGAAUAUCAAAGAAGAUCUGAGCAGCUGUAAGACGCUGCUCCAUUGCAAGAGGGACGAGCUGCGCAAACUGUGGAUCGAGGGGGUGGAGCAGAAAACUAUUGCCUCUCUACUGGACCAGAUUGAACAAGUGAAGAAUGUCCCAGAGAAACUGGACACACAUUUUGCCCGGCGGGAAUAUCUACAGGCUACAAACUGCAUUGUGGCGGCAGUUGCCAAAUUGGAGAGUAAUUUGUCCCACAUUGAAGCUCUGCGUGAUCUGAAGGUAGAAAUACUGGCAAGAAAAGAGCGUAUGCAUGAAGUUCUCAUAGAGGAGCUGAACAGACAGAUCUAUACCGUAUCGUCCCAGGCCUCUCAAAGUCGAACUGGGUCAGGUCGAACUGGGUCAGGCCGACAUGGUGACAUGUCUCUUAGAGUCAUGAUGGAGUUUUCGGAUGCAAGGGAUGACACACAUGUGGAGGAUGACCCUCAGAAGUUGAUCUCCUCACUUCUUGAAUCACUCUACAUACUGAACAAGACACCAGAAGCUGCUGAGGCCAUCAAGAUGAGGAUGCAUCAAGAGCUGAUAGCAAUUGUAGCAAGAGCUUCACACCAGCUGGUUGACAGUAGUGGCAGUCCAGGUGAGAACCUGAUGGGCCAGUUCCUGCCCAGACAGCUCAGUGACCUCCUAGAUAUCAUCUUCAGACAGUUCAGAAGUGUGGCCAACAUCCAUGACGUUGUAUUGGCCAAUCUACGCAAAAUUAUGCACGAGAAAGCAGAGCAAUCUGGGGUCUACAUCAAGCCUGAGAGCAUGUACACUAAAAGAGAUGUGUGGUCCAAGAUACAGGCAGUGACGGAGUUGCUACUGAAUGAGUACUUAGACGUGCGUAACACGGUGAAGUCACGACAACAGGCACCCAGUAACUAUGAGGAGGCAACUAUGGACAUUGGCACGUACUUCACUAAGAAAAAGACUCAGAAACAGAAAAAGGGAUCCCUGUUCAGGUUCGAUGCUUCAAUUCACGCUUUGAGUACCAACAGCUAUGUGGAGGACACACACCACUUUGAGAGUGAGCUGUUUGGAGGGGGCACCAUGCAUAUGGACACACCAAAACAUGUCUUUGUGUGCAAGCCAUCUGUGGACAACAUCCGAAGUAUCUACAAACAGCUGCAGAUAUUUAUCAAGGAAGUGGAGAGCUCAUCAGCCCUUCAACCUGGGGAGUCAAGCCUUAAUGAGUUUGUGAAGAACUUUGUGGAGGACACGUAUCUAGGACACAUCCACUACGUUGUCUCCAACAAUAUAGACAUCGCCACAAAAGUGGACGAAGAAGAGGAAAGUUUUGAUGCUCUAAGGAAUGUGAUAGAUCACAAGACACAGAAGGAGCUGGGGGUGCCACGCCCACUUUUACAGAGCACAGUGACAGUGGACAAGAGUGUCUCUGAGCUGAAGGAUUUGAUGACAGAGCUACCUGACUAUGCUGACCAGUUCCUGAACAUGAUAUGCAAUGUGUUACGUGGAUACAGGGACACCUGCCAUAACGCUUACAGAGGCAUAGUGCAGUAUGAUGCUGAUGAGAAGAGAGUUAUCAGUGCUAUGUGGGCCAAGGAUGAAGACAUAAGUCGCUUUCUCAGGUCUCUACCAAGCUGGCGCACACUGCAGCCGACCAAUGGGCAGGAGUUGAACCGCACGGUGUGUUCAGAGGAGGAGAUGCGGGCCCUGAACUCCAAAGAGGCAGUGAUCCUCAUAACAAACCUGUCGUCUGACGAGGCGUUCAUACCGCAGCAUGAGAUCAUCACAGAUGUCACCCAGAUGAGGACGGUGGCCAACGUACAUGAGAGUCUGGAAUGGUUUGCAGUUCGUCUCAAGAAUUUCUCCAUCACCAAGGCGACCCAGGCCAGUCAGCAACUUGUGGUUGAAUCUCCCGUCUAUGAUAGCUCCCCUAAAGUAUCACAGAAAACACUCGAGUCCCUGAAUGGUAUUGUGAAGGACUUCCAAGACCUCUCUGAGGUCUGUCUACUCCUCCUGCACCUGGAGGUCAGAGUGCACUGCUUCUACUAUCUCAUGCCAGUGGCCAAACAGUCCAACUAUGCGGGACCCAUAGAUGACCUUGACCCAGAUUCCAAUGUGCUCAAACUGAACAAGGACCUGUCUGGGAUUGAGGAGCUCCUGGCAGCAAGUCUGCAACCCAGCAAGUUCAAGUACAUAUUUGAGAGUCUGGGCUAUUUGGUGGCAUCCAUUCUUAUGAACAGUAUGCAAUUUAUCAAGAAGAUUAAUGAAAAUGGAAUCAAGAAAAUGUGCCGCAACCUGUUUGCCAUACAACAGAACCUGACCAACAUCACGAUGUCUCGAGAGUCAGAUUUGGACCACGCUAGACAGUACUAUGAACUGCUGUACCUAAACCCUGAAAAAAUCCUGACCCUUAUAGCUGAGAAGGGUUCCCAGUUCACGUUGGCAGAGUACAGUCAGCUGCUACAGCUGUACCACCGCAGUCACUUCACCGUGGACCAGGCUGUAGUAGACGCGCACUUGAAGCGCCUCAGAGAGGUCACAGAGAAAGGUCAUAAUGAGACCGUGUGAUUAGAUUGGAUGCAAUGGGACAUGUAAUUGGAUGCUACAGGAUGGUGCGAGACUGUGUGAUUAGAUUGGAUGCAAUGGGACAUGUAAUUGGAUGCUACAGGAUGGUGCGAGACUGUGUCAUUAGAUUGGAUGCAAUGGGACAUGUAAUUGGAAGCAACAGGAUGGUGCGAGACUGUGUGAUUAGAUUGGAUGCAAUGGGACAUGUAAUUGGAUGCUACAGGAUGGUGCGAGACUGUGUCAUUAGAUUGGAUGCAAUAGGACAUGUAAUUGGAUGCUACAGGAUGGUGUGAGACUAUGUGAUUAAGUAGGAUGUUAUGGGACUAUGUGAUUUGAUGUCAUAAGAUUGUGAAAUUGCUUUGGAUGUUAUGGAACCAUAUGAUUGGAUUUCAUGCCAAAUGACACCAUAAUACAGCUUCUCGCUACAUCAAAAUCAGAGUAAACUUACUUAAAGAUGACUUGUCAUUUAUGUCACAUAAUUUUUUAGGCAAUUAUUUAUGUGAGAAUGACCUUGAUUCUAGUUCCACAAUUAAUUUAGCAAAAGAAAUAUCAAUGUGACCUUGACCUUGAACUUAGUUCCACAAGCAAUUUUUUAUGGAAUAUCAAUGUGAAUCUGACCUUGAUCAAAGUUUCAUGAGCAAUUUUUCUUAAGAAUAUCUAGUUGAUUCAGCAAAGUCCAUAAUGAUUUUCUUUAAGGAAUUUCACUAUGACCGGGAACCUUAAUUAAGUCUUAUUAAACUUUACUAAAGAGGUUACAAACAUUUUAGUUAUACAUGUUAGUGCUAUUCUUGUCUGUUUGUUAUUGUAUAGAAAUUAAUUUUAUGUACUCAUGAGUAUUUAUAUGAUAUUUGCUAUAUGUGUAUUAUUAUUUUAUUAUUUAUACAUUGAUGGUUUUGUGUUGAUGUUGAUUUUUAUCAGAGAUACUGCAGUGGUAUGCAUGUGUGAUGCUAGUUUACAACAUCACAAAACACACAACAUGUAUGCUAUGCUCAUAUAAAGGUUUAAACGGUUAUCAACUUGUCAAAUUAUGCACUGUUAUAAAAGUAUUGCGUUUUGUCUCGUUAGUAUCCUAUUAAAUGUAUAAAACAUGGUCAAUUUUAUUAGAAACCUUUUAUUAAAUUUUAAAUUUGCUGUUACAAAAAUGGUCAUAGUUGCUUGUGGUAUAUCUGAUUGUAAACAUUAUUUGAGGUCUAUGUGAACUGAAAUUGUCUUACCAUCUCGUAUAAUUAAUGAGAUGUUUAGCAUAACUUUAGUGAUUCUCUUUAAAUUUGAUGGAGACUCCUACAAUUGGACUGCAUUGUGGGAAAACUUGACUUAUAGCAUUUGCAUGAAGUGUCGUCCCAGAUAAGCAUGUUCUGUGCAAUGUCCUUAAGCUAAUCAGGGACAAGACUUUUGGCUUUGAUUGUAUUUUUCAUUUUAAGGAUCACUCUUCUGAGCCAAAAUCCAAUUGAGGCAGAAAGAAUCAUACCUGAUUAGCCUCAGUGAAUUACACAAGCUAAUCAGGGACAACACUUUACGCGCAUGCAUUUAGUUACGUUUUUUCAGUGCGAGGCUUAAUUAUAUAAACAUGUUUUUAGCUCACCUGUCACAAAGUAACAUAUGAGCUUAUGUGACUGUGUGAUGUCCGGCGUCCGUUGUGCGUGUGUGCAUGCGUGUGUCCGUCAACAAUUUGUUUGUGUAGACAGUAGAGGUCACAGUUUUCAUCCAAUCUUUAUGAAAUUUGGUCAGAAUGUUUAUAUUGAUGAAAUCUGGGUUGGUAUUGUAUUUGGGUCAUCUGGGGUCAAAAACUAGGUCACUAGGUCAAAUAAUAUAAAAACCUUGUGAAGACAAUAGAGGUCACAGUUUUCAUCCAAUCUUUAUGAAAUUUGGUCAGAAUGUUUAUCUUGAUGAAAUCUGGGUUGGGAUUGUUUUUGGGUCAUCUGGGGUCAAAAACUAGGUCACUAGGUCAAAUAAUAGAAAAACCUUGUGUAGACAAUAGAGGUUAUAGUUUUAAUCUGAUCUGUCUGUCAUUCAUUGUGUGUCCCAAAACUUUAACCUUGGUUAAAGUUUUGCAAUAACUUUUGCAUUAUUGAAGAUAGCAACUUGAUAUUUGGCAUACAUGUGUAACUCUAGCAACCCCAGCAGAUCUUAUCUUAUCAGUGGAAGAUCUAAGAAAAUCAGCUAAUCUGCAUAGUGGUUCCAUUACAAGUUAUUUUAAUAAAUCAUCUUAUUUAAAAUCAAAUUAAUACAAAUGCAGAUUGAAAGAAAAAUCAAUUCUCUUUAAUAUGAUAUAAAUUUUAAUAAUCAUUAAUUUAUGUUCGCUGCUUUAUUGGAUUCAAGUACAACGUCAGUGUCCCAUUUCUUUUGUUUACUGCAUUUUAAUUGUAUUUGAAUAUUAAUGAUUUUUCCACAGCAAGAAAUUUGAUUGGUUAAACUUCAAUCUUGUUUUUGAAUGACAUAAAUGGGAUAUCCCUACGCUGAAAUAUAGUUUCGUAAAAUUUAACGUUUAAAAUACGCUUUUGUUUAACGUGUUUUUACAUUAACUUAACAUUCAAUCUUUCAUCUUUAUUUUGAUACCAAAAUCAUUUUUCGGAACAAAGAAUUAAUACCUCGCAUCUUUAUUUGAAAUGGGUAACCCCCAACAUACUCGCGUAAAGAAUUUCCAAGAUGGCGGUCGUGUCAAAUUUUCCAUGUUCAUGACGCGAUAAAAGGCCUCGUUUUCCGCAUAAACUAACACAAAUAAAGGUAUUUUCUGUAUCAUUCAUCCGGUAUGUACUCAUUUUAUUUUAAAUUAAAAAGUUUAUUGUUAAAACGUACAAUUGUCAGUAAUUUCCGCAUUAAAUAACUUAAUUAAGAUUCGCUCCACUCGCGAAAGAAAGUUGUCAAAGAAUUGAAUUUUACAAAAUUUAUUUUAUCUGUUAUUGCACGGAAUAAACCAUUAUUUCGAAUUCAAGUUAAGUUAACACUUAAUUUAUGACACACUUAUUCAAUUUUUACGCAAUAUAUAACUAGAAGAAAGUUUAAUGCACGUAAUUUUUUUUUACCGAGUUGAAAACGUAUAUAGAAAAUCAGUAUAUCAAAAUCCUGUUAAGCCUCGUGCCAGACAUUAGUUUGUCAAACGAGCGAACUGUGCUGUCCAAAAUAAACCUAUAUUAUAUAUAUUCCUAGUAGUACUAAUAGUAUAUCUUACAACUGUUAAAAUAAAAAUAAUAUAGUUAAAAACUUCACUUAAUAGUUAUUAAGCUUGCAAUUGUUACAGUAGUUUAUAAACAAUGUACUGUGGUAACUUUAUAUUUGUUAAUUAGUGUUGUUGAUAUUGUUGAUAUUGAAACAUUUUGUGACUGGAAAAAUAAAAAAGUGCAAAAUAAAUGUCCACAAUCAA